UAGGGAAUGCUGCCAUUUGAAGAUAAAUGCC
rnacentral:piRNA from 1 species